rnacentral:lncRNA from 1 species
UUCUAUGCGGCUCUAUGGGGCUCUAUGGGAUUCCAUGGGGCUCUAUGGGACCCACCAGGACCCCGACCCCAUAGAGGAGCCCUAAAGCCCCGCAGCCCUGCCCCCAACAUCCUAUGGGCUUCUAUGGGGAUCUAUGGGGCUCUACUGGGGCUCUAUGGGAUUCUAUGAGGCUCUAUGGGGCUCUAUGGGAUCCACCAGGACGCCGACCCCAUAGAGGAGCCCUACCCCCAACAUCCUAUGGGGCUCUACUGGGGUUCUAUGGGAUCUAUGGGGCUCUAUGGGGCUCUAUGGGGCUGUAUUGGGGUUCUAUGGGAUUCUAUGGGUCUAUGAUUCUAUCCCCAUCUCAUACCCCACACCCCCAGCCCCCACCCCACUCCAAUAUCCCACCCCACAUCCAUCCCAUACCCCACCUCCCCAUCCCACACCCCACACCCCAUAUCCCCCAUCCUACCCCACAUCCCACCCCAAUAU